GAUGAACGCUGGCGGCGUGCCUAAUACAUGCAAGUCGAGCGAACAGACGAGGAGCUUGCUCCUCUGACGUUAGCGGCGGACGGGUGAGUAACACGUGGAUAACCUACCUAUAAGACUGGGAUAACUUCGGGAAACCGGAGCUAAUACCGGAUAAUAUAUUGAACCGCAUGGUUCAAUGGUGAAAGACGGUUUUGCUGUCACUUAUAGAUGGAUCCGCGCCGCAUUAGCUAGUUGGUAAGGUAACGGCUUACCAAGGCAACGAUGCGUAGCCGACCUGAGAGGGUGAUCGGCCACACUGGAACUGAGACACGGUCCAGACUCCUACGGGAGGCAGCAGUAGGGAAUCUUCCGCAAAGGGCGAAAGCUUGACGGAGCAACGCCGCGUGAGUGAUGAAGGUCUUCGGAUCGUAAAACUCUGUUAUUAGGGAAGAACAAAUGUGUAAGUAACUAUGCACGUCUUGACGGUACCUAAUCAGAAAGCCACGGCUAACUACGUG
rnacentral:rRNA from 1 species